rnacentral:rRNA from 1 species
GUUAAACGGCCGCGGUAUUUUGACCGUGCAAAGGUAGCGCAAUCACUUGUCUUUUAAAUGAAGACCUGUAUGAAUGGUGAAACGAGGGCUUAACUGUCUCCCUUUUCAAGUCAAUGAAAUUGAUCUCCCCGUGCAGAAGCGGGGGUGUAAAUACAAGACGAGAAGACCCUUUGGAGCUUAAGAUUAAAAUCAACUAUGUUAAAUAUUCACCAAAUAGAACUGAAUAGUAACUGAUCGUAAUCUUCGGUUGGGGCGACCACGGAAUAAAAAUAAACUUCCACAUGGAAUGAGGACUAACCUUAAAACCAAGAAAAACAUUUCUAAGUCACAGAAUUUCUGACCACACAGAUCCGGCAAGUUGCCGAUCAAUGGACCAAGUUACCCUAGGGAUAACAGCGCAAUCCCCUUUUAGAGUCCCUAUCGACAAGGGGGUUUACGACCUCGAUGUUGGAUCAGGACAUCCUAAUGGUGCAGC